GCUGAACUAUUGCUUCUGGUGAAUGGAGUUAACAGGCAGAAAAUUCUUCUGCUGUAGCAGAGUAUUUAUCUGUCUCUCAAGGAUUUUUUCUUGAAAAGUAUUGAGUUGUAUUGUUAUCAACCUGCUGUUAUCUCUGGACAAAGAACCCCUUGUUGAGAGAAACACAUUGAGAAACGCCUUGAUCACUCCUUAGCAGAAGCAGAUUUGCUGGGAGGCAGCGUUUCCUCAGCGCAGGCUUUGUAUGGAUCAAUCCGUUUGCAGCCUUUCAGACUCGAUGUACAAAUUUGUGUUUGGCAGUAAUGUAGAAUGGAAAGCAUGAAGAGGUGGUCAGGGUUCUGAGGAAGGCAGAAGCAGCUGAAGGCUGUUGCAAGGCCAGUGAUGCCUCCAGUUCUACAGAAGCAGCCCUGCCUGUUUCAUUCAGUGGAACUCUCUCAGCUGAAACCUAAUUAGAGGACCCUGAAAUAGACCUUUCACAUUCAUUCUUGAAAAUAUUCAGACUGACAGCUAACAAGUAGUGUCCACCUGCUGAUAUGAGCGUUCCAAACAGCAGAAGAUCUGUUCAGAGAAACCCAGUAACGAGGAAUUUCCUUCAGAUGGAGCUCUGUGCCAACCUGCUCUAAUAGGGAAGGACACAUUGGAAGGGGAAAGUUUAAUCCAUUCUGAAAAACUCAAAGCUGUAUUCAAUAUGUAUGAUCCCGUGAGCUUGAUCCUGGCUCUCUGGGGCUCUAGUUAUUUGGGUUUUGCAAGGUGUUGUUGAGUCUACAUUUUCACAGUAGGCUCAAGUAAACCUGGAUAUUUUAUUUUUGACAUUAAACUAUUAUGCUUUUCCCAUGUUCAAUUGAUUGUACUGACCAUCACUUUGGCUACAUUCACAGCUACUUAUUUAGACAGAAAUAAUGGAUCAUAAUUUUUCAGUGUCCUACUAUGACUUAAAAUUACAAAAUAAAAAGCUAGGAGCUGAUGCAGGGCUCCAAGACAGUGACAAUGAUAAAGGAGCCUUUUAAAGAUCUGAUUUUCCUCUCAGUUUUAUUUAUAGAUGCUGCAGGGGUCCAACCCAUUUCUUUCCAACUGCCUACUCAGAAGGGCUGCUCACAUGACAGUUUUAUGAACAGAGCUUGUGCCAGUCAGGCACAAGACCCAGGAAAUACAGCCCUGGCAUUCUGCUCUUUCCCACUGCAGGGAAUAGCCGUUGGAUCUGUUUCUAUCUGGGAUUUCUGGUUUUGGUAAAGAGAAAAGGAUUUGAGCAGGCCACCUGCAGAUAAGAGGAGAGUUACUGUUUUCUUAGUCUGUUUGCAGCCUGAGGGCAGAGGGCAGGCACAGAACUCUGCUGAGGCAGAUUGAAUACAAGCAUGGCUUCAGUUAAAUGAGACACAACACCAUGCUAACAUGAAAACUGUACUCUAUUUAUAUGCACAAGUCUUUUUUGAUAUCUUCCUCCGUUCAUUUGGUGGAAUAAUGGGGAAAUAUUGCUUGUGACUGAAUUUUUUAUCAUUUGAAGAAGAACUGUUGUACGUGUCAGAGUAGCUGCAAUCUGAUCUUCAUGGGUGUGGAGAGUCAAACUCAGCCUUUCCCUCUGCCAUGCUGGUACUGAUCACUGCUGGGCCAGAGAAGAACAAAUGACUAGCAAGAUAUCAGAAGUGGAGAUAAAUGGAAAUAUGGGAAAUGGCUGAUGUUAGUUUAUCCCACAAUGAGAUUAACCUAAUUAAUGGAUGAAUAUCAUAUUUGGUUUUUUUUCCUAUGGAAAUAUGAAGCAUAAAGGACCCAUUUAGCCUAGCAAGAAGAUGUGCUACCUUGGAUACAGUCUGUAAAAAAUAUGAAAAAUACUG